GUCUCACAUAAUCAAUGGUCACCUUCACCUAGCUUGUGAUGUCCAUUUUCCAUAUUCAUCUCAGCCUUUGGACCAUCGCAAGACUAUGAAGCUUUACUGUUCCCUAGGAUUGGCUUUGGGAUUUUCCUUCGCAGCUUAGGUGGAAGGCGAAGAAGGCCCCUUUCUGGGGGGCCCGAGUCAUCAGUGAGAUACCACUCUGGAAGAGCUUGGAUUCUAACCUUGUGUCAGACCCACGGGCCAAGGGGUAGUCUAAGGUAGACAGUUUCUAUGGGGCAUAGGCAUCCCAAAAGGUAACAGAGGCGUGCAAAGGUUUCAUCGGGCCAGGGGGACAUUGGUCCUCGAGUGCAAAGGCAGAAGGGAGCUUGACUGCAAGACUCACCCAUCGAGCAGAGACGAAAGUUGGCCUUAGUGAUCCGACGGUGCCAAGUGGAAGGGUCGUCGCUCAACGGAUAAAAGUUACUCUAGGGAUAACAUGCAGAUGUUCCCUAAGAGUCCACAUCGACAGGAAGGUUUGAGACGUCGAUGUCGACUCUUCUCCACCUGGAGUUGUAGGUGGUUCUAAGGGUUGGGUUGUUUGCCCAUUAAUGUAGUACGUGAGCUGGGUUCAGAAUGUCGUGACAGUUCGGUCCAUAUCUGGUGUGGGCGUUAGAGCAUUGAGAGGACCUUUCCCUAGUACGAGAGGACCAGGAAGGACGCACCUCUGGUGUACCAGUUAUCGUGUCUACGGUAAACACUGGGUAGCCAAGUGUUGAUAGGAUAACUGUUGAAAGCAUAUAAGUAGUAAGCCCACCCCAAGAUUAGUGCUCUCUCCUCUGACUUCCCUAGAGCCUCCGGUAGCACAACCGAGACAGCAACGGGUUCUCCACCCAUACGGGGAUGGAGCGACAGAAGUAUGGAAAUAGGAUAAGGUAGCGGUGAGACGAGUCGUUUAAAUAGGUGUCAAGUGAAAGUGCAGUGAUGUAUGUAGCUGAGGCAUCCUAACGAACAAACUAUUUGAACCUU
rfam:Zea mays cultivar B73 chromosome 5, whole genome shotgun sequence.